CGGAAAGAAAUUUGCCUGACUUUUUCGGAUUGUGCCCGAGUUGUCAUAAACAAAUUUCCAGAGAAACUUUCCGAAAUUGUUGUCAACAGGGGGGGGGGGGAGGAUGCUACGAAAAAUUCCUAUUGGAUAGCAUAUUUCCCACAAAAUUGACAGAAUAAUAAGCCAAUACUGCCCAACUGGCUUUGUUUGCCCAACAAACUGGGGGGGGGGCACACCCAUGGUAGACCCCGGUAGACCCUGCUGCAUCUUACUCAGCACACUAUGUGCUCACUUUCCACCCCUGAAUUUUUCUGCACACCCCCACCCCAAGCAAAAUUUGAAAAUGUCUAUAGAUUAUGGUGAUGAUAACAUAAAAGUAUAAACCUUUAUUACCGUAAGUUAAUGUUAAUUAAUUAAGACUAUUAAGUUAACACAUGCUCCACUACAUCAUG